rnacentral:rRNA from 1 species
UUAGGAAUAUUGCGCAAUGGACGAAAGUCUGACGCAGCGACGCCGCGUGGGUGAUGAAGGCCUUCGGGUUGUAAAGCCCUUUUCUGGGGGAAGAGGAAGGACGGUACCCCAGGAAUAAGUCUCGGCUAACUACGUGCCAGCAGCCGCGGUAAAACGUAGGAGGCGAGCGUUAUCCGGAUUUACUGGGCGUAAAGCGCGUGCAGGUGGCUUCGUAAGUCGGAUGUUAAAUCUCCCGGCUUAACUGGGAGGCGUCGUUCGAAACUACGGAGCUUGAGGACGGGAGAGGGAAGCGGAAUUCCCGGUGUAGCGGUGGAAUGCGCAGAGAUCGGGAGGAACACCAGUGGCGAAGGCGGCUUCCUGGCCCGUUCCUGACACUCAGACGCGAAAGCGUGGGUAGCGAACG